UGACCCAGAGACAGUGAGAAGGCCAACGAUCGUUUGUCUUAAAUUGCUAAAUUUGGGCUUAAUCCUGGGCAGCACCAGAUAACUAAUACAUCCAUGCACUUUACCAAAAAGCCUUCUAUUUCCAAAGUCUCAAAGGAUGAUCCACACAGGAAAGUGGACUGCUUAAUCAAUCCUCAUUUUUGCCAAGAAGUACUUCCCAGUGUGGUCUCCUUCUAGUAACCAUUCUUGACUUUGUUGGACAGACUUCGGGCUGUUGGAAAAACAAAACAAAAACAAACCAACAGACAAAAAACCCCUACCUUCCAAAGAGGAAGAUUCACCACCACAAGGAAUACAAGGAAUACUAAAAAAGAAUAUGCCACAGCUUCCGAAGACAAUGUCACUUAGUUUCUGAUCUCUUUUCACCAAGGACCACAUCCCUGGAAUGAUUCUUCCAAGGUAUGAUAUUUCCUAUAUUGCACAGAUGAACACUGUUUUGCUGUAAACUAAAUGCUUUUGACAUUAUUUGAUUCUGCUUUGAUGCUUCUAGGGACAGAUGAGGCAUUUGUACCCAAUCUAAGAGCCCAAGCACCAGGUGGGGCCGGCCUUGUACCUCCAUAUGACUCCCGGCUGAUCUGUUCCUGAUUCCUCAAGAAUCGGGGGUCCAUUCUGCCACCCAUCGCAGCCAAUCUCCACCUCGGCCAGAUUUUGCUGCACCCAGUCCUGGAACCCGGACAAGGACCCACUGAUCUCACGGUUCCACCGACCAGUUGUGAGGCCCUUGCCUGGUGUAUAUUCCCAGUGAGUAAAAGCCUCCCCCACAGCACCAGGGGGCGCAAUAAAGGAGUGUCUUUGACCGCAGUUUCAACAGAGAUGCAAAAAAAUGGCAAUAAAACUUCUAGAAGUGACCCUUAAUAAUGCAGUCCUCGCUGACAGGCAGACUUUGAGCAAGGCAAUUUUUGAGCUGGUUUCAAUCAUAAAGGAGAAAGAUGAGGGAGUAUGGUGGCCAUGGUGAGACGAGACGCGGAACACCGCAAAUGGUGGCACUGAGGGCCCCUCACGGGUUCACACUUCGGCUUGUUGGGCCCCUAAGCUAUUCUCGCUCCCAUUUUACAAGGGAGGGAAGAGACCAGAGACAGAACGGCUUGCACACAGCAAGGGAGUGGCAGAGUGGGGGCAAACGCCAGAUGCUCAAGCCUGUUGGGCGGGUGAGAGGUAGGGCAGAGACGCCACAGAAUGGCCGACUUCUUAAGAUGGCUGACCUUCCCGCCAAUACAUCAGUGACCGUUCCGACUUCGGCGGGAAACAGAAACUUAGGCAAGAAACCAAAACCUCCCGCCCGGGACUUUCCAGUCAAGAGACCGCCCCUGUUACCUGGACUUGCCCACCCCCACCUACAGGUUAUAAAACCCCCCACCACGGAACCCGGGCGCGACUUCCCCGACUCCCCUCUCCUGAGUCGCUGGGGGCCUCGCCGGGGGUGCAUGCAAUAAAACUGCUCCUGCGGAACA